AGUGAACGCUGGCGGUAGGCCUAACACAUGCAAGUCGAACGGCAGCACAGUAAGAGCUUGCUCUUACGGGUGGCGAGUGGCGGACGGGUGAGGAAUACAUCGGAAUCUACUUUUUCGUGGGGGAUAACGUAGGGAAACUUACGCUAAUACCGCAUACGACCUACGGGUGAAAGCAGGGGAUCUUCGGACCUUGCGCGAUUGAAUGAGCCGAUGUCGGAUUAGCUAGUUGGCGGGGUAAAGGCCCACCAAGGCGACGAUCCGUAGCUGGUCUGAGAGGAUGAUCAGCCACACUGGAACUGAGACACGGUCCAGACUCCUACGGGAGGCAGCAGUGGGGAAUAUUGGACAAUGGGCGAAAGCGUGAUCCAGCCAUACCGCGUGGGUGAAGAAGGCCUUCGGGUUGUAAAGCCCUUUUGUUGGGAAAGAAAAGCAGCAGGUUAAUACCCCGCUGUUCUGACGGUACCCAAAGAAUAAGCACCGGCUAACUUCGUG
rnacentral:rRNA from 1 species